rnacentral:rRNA from 1 species
GAGUUUGAUCAUGGCUCAGAUUGAACGCUGGCGGCAGGCCUAACACAUGCAAGUCGAGCGGAUGACGGGAGCUUGCUCCUUGAUUCAGCGGCGGACGGGUGAGUAAUGCCUGGGAAUCUGCCUGGUAGUGGGGGACAACGUUUCGAAAGGAACGCUAAUACCGCAUACGUCCUACGGGAGAAAGCAGGGGACCUUCGGGCCUUGCGCUAUCAGAUGAGCCUAGGUCGGAUUAGCUAGUUGGUGGGUAAUGGCUCACCAAGGCGACGAUCCGUAACUGGUCUGAGAGGAUGAUCAGUCACACUGGAACUGAGACACGGUCCAGACUCCUACGGGAGGCAGCAGUGGGGAAUAUUGGACAAUGGGCGAAAGCCUGAUCCAGCCAUGCCGCGUGUGUGAAGAAGGUACUUCGGAUUGUAAAGCACUUUAAGUUGGAGAAGGGCAGUAAGUAUACCUUGCUGUUUGACGUUACCGACAGAAUAAGCACCGGCUAAC